GAGACUACAUGUAGGUCUGUUAGCUAGCUGGGGAGAGUGUAGGUCUGUUAGCUAGCUGGGGAGAGUGUAGGUCUGUUAGCUAGCUGGGGAGAGUGAAGAGACUACAUGUAGGUCUGUUAGCUAGCUGGGGAGAGUGACUAGACUACAUGUAGGUCUGAUUGAUAGAUGGGGAGAGUGUAGUUCCAUUAGCUAGCUGGUGAGAGUGUAGGUCUGUUAGCUAGCUGGGGAGAGUGAAGAGACUACUUGUAGGUCUGUUAGCUAGCUGGGGAGAGUGUAGUUCCGUUAGCUAGCUGGGGAGAGUGUAGGUCUGUUAGCUACCUGGGGGGAGUGUAGGUCUCUUAGCUAGCUGGGGAGAGUGACAAGACUACAUGUAGGUCUGAUUGCUAGCUGGGGAGAGUGUAGUUCCGUUAGCUAGCUGGGGAGAGUGUAGUUCUGUUAGCUAGCUGGGGAGAGUGUAGUUCCGUUAGCUAGCUGGGGAGAGUGUAGUUCUGUUAGCUCGCUGGGGAGAGUGUAGUUCCGUUAGCUAGCUGGGGAGAGUGUAGUUCCGUUAGCUAGCUGGGGAGAGUGUAGUUCCAUUAGCUAGCUGGGGAGAGUGUAGGGAGAGUGUAGUUCCAUUAGCUAGCUGGGGAGAGUGUAGGUCUGUUAGCUUGCUGGGGAGUGUGUAGGUCUGUUAGCUAGCUGGGGAGAGUGAAGAGACUACAUGUAGGUCUGUUAGCUAGCUGGGGAGAGUGACGAGACUACAUGUAGGUCUGUUAGCUAGCUGGGGAGAGUGUAGGUUCGUUAGCUAGCUGGGGAGAGUGAAGAGACUACAAGUUGGUCUGUCUGGGGAGAGUGACGACUACAUGUAGGUCUGUUAGCUAGCUGGGGCGAGUGUAGUUCCGUUAGCUAGCUGGGGAGAGUGUAGGUCUGUUAGCUAGCUGGGGAGAGUGUAGGUCUGUUAGCUAGCUGGGGAGAGUGUAGUUCUGUUAGCUCGCUGGGGAGAGUGUAGUUCCGUUAGCUAGCUGGGGAGAGUGUAGUUCCAUUAGCUAGCUGGGGAGAGUGUAGUUCCAUUAGCUAGCUGGGGCGAGUGUAGUUCCGUUAGCUAGCUGGGGAGAGUGUAGGUCUGUUAGCUAGCUGGGGAGAGUGUAGGUCUGUUAGCUAGCUGGGGAGAGUGUAGGUCUGUUAGCUAGCUGGGGAGAGUGUAGUUCCGUUAGCUAGCUGGGGAGAGUGUAGGUCUGUUAGCUAGCUGGGGAGUGUGUAGGUCUGUUAGCUAGCUGGGGAGUGUGUAGGUCUGUUAGCUAGCUGGGGAGUGUGUAGGUCUGUUAGCUAGCUGGGGAGAGUGAAGAGACUACAUGUAGGUCUGUUAGCUACCUGGGGAGAGUGAAGAGACUACAUGUAGGUCUGUUAGCUAGCUGGGGAGAGUGACGAGACUACAUGUAGGUCUGUUAGCUAGCUGGGGAGAGUGUAGGUUCGUUAGCUAGCUGGGGAGAGUGAAGAGACUACAAGUUGGUCUGUCUGGGGAGAGUGACGACUACAUGUAGGUCUGUUAGCUAGCUGGGGCGAGUGUAGUUCCGUUAGCUAGCUGGGGAGAGUGUAGGUCUGUUAGCUAGCUGGGGAGAGUGUAGGUCUGUUAGCUAGCUGGGGAGAGUGUAGGUCCGUUAGCUAGCUGGGGAGAGUGUAGGUCCGUUAGCUAGCUGGGUAGAGUGUAGGUCUGUUAGCUAGCUGGGGAGAGUGAAGAGACUACAUGUAGGUCUGUUAGCUAGCUGGGGAGAGUGUAGGUCUGUUAGCUAGCUGGGGAGAGUGUAGGUCUGUUAGCUAGCUGGGGAGAGUGAAGAGACUACAUGUUGGUCUGUUAGCUAGCUGGGGAGAGUGAAGAGACUACAUGUAAGUCUGUUAGCUACCUGGGGAGAGUGAAGAGACUACAUGAAGGUCUGUUAGCUACCUGGGGAGAGUGAAGAGACUACAUGUAGGUCUGUUAGCUACCUGGGGAGAGUGAAGAGACUACAUGUAGGUCUGUUAGCUACCUGGGGAGAGUGAAGAGACUACAUGUAGGUCUGUUAGCUAGCUGGGGAGAGUGACGAGACUACAUGUAGGUCUGUUAGCUAGCUGGGGAGAGUGUAGGUCUGUUAGCUAGCUGGGGAGAGUGUAGGUCUGUUAGCUAGCUGGGGAGAGUGAAGAGACUACAUGUAGGUCUGUUAGCUAGCUGGGGAGAGUGACUAGACUACAUGUAGGUCUGAUUGAUAGAUGGGGAGAGUGUAGUUCCAUUAGCUAGCUGGUGAGAGUGUAGGUCUGUUAGCUAGCUGGGGAGAGUGAAGAGACUACUUGUAGGUCUGUUAGCUAGCUGGGGAGAGUGUAGUUCCGUUAGCUAGCUGGGGAGAGUGUAGGUCUGUUAGCUACCUGGGGGGAGUGUAGGUCUCUUAGCUAGCUGGGGAGAGUGACAAGACUACAUGUAGGUCUGAUUGCUAGCUGGGGAGAGUGUAGUUCCGUUAGCUAGCUGGGGAGAGUGUAGUUCUGUUAGCUAGCUGGGGAGAGUGUAGUUCCGUUAGCUAGCUGGGGAGAGUGUAGUUCUGUUAGCUCGCUGGGGAGAGUGUAGUUCCGUUAGCUAGCUGGGGAGAGUGUAGUUCCGUUAGCUAGCUGGGGAGAGUGUAGUUCCAUUAGCUAGCUGGGGAGAGUGUAGGGAGAGUGUAGUUCCAUUAGCUAGCUGGGGAGAGUGUAGGUCUGUUAGCUUGCUGGGGAGUGUGUAGGUCUGUUAGCUAGCUGGGGAGAGUGAAGAGACUACAUGUAGGUCUGUUAGCUAGCUGGGGAGAGUGACGAGACUACAUGUAGGUCUGUUAGCUAGCUGGGGAGAGUGUAGGUUCGUUAGCUAGCUGGGGAGAGUGAAGAGACUACAAGUUGGUCUGUCUGGGGAGAGUGACGACUACAUGUAGGUCUGUUAGCUAGCUGGGGCGAGUGUAGUUCCGUUAGCUAGCUGGGGAGAGUGUAGGUCUGUUAGCUAGCUGGGGAGAGUGUAGGUCUGUUAGCUAGCUGGGGAGAGUGUAGGUCCGUUAGCUAGCUGGGGAGAGUGUAGUUCUGUUAGCUCGCUGGGGAGAGUGUAGUUCCGUUAGCUAGCUGGGGAGAGUGUAGUUCCAUUAGCUAGCUGGGGAGAGUGUAGUUCCAUUAGCUAGCUGGGGCGAGUGUAGUUCCGUUAGCUAGCUGGGGAGAGUGUAGGUCUGUUAGCUAGCUGGGGAGAGUGUAGGUCUGUUAGCUAGCUGGGGAGAGUGUAGGUCUGUUAGCUAGCUGGGGAGAGUGUAGUUCCGUUAGCUAGCUGGGGAGAGUGUAGGUCUGUUAGCUAGCUGGGGAGUGUGUAGGUCUGUUAGCUAGCUGGGGAGUGUGUAGGUCUGUUAGCUAGCUGGGGAGUGUGUAGGUCUGUUAGCUAGCUGGGGAGAGUGAAGAGACUACAUGUAGGUCUGUUAGCUACCUGGG